GACGAAGGAUGCAAGCGUUAUCCGGAUUCAUUGGGUUUAAAGGGUGCGUAGGCGGUCCUGUAAGUCAGUGGUGAAAGCUCUCCGCUUAACGGAGAAACUGCCAUUGAUACUGCAAGACUUGAGUACAGAUGAUGUUGGCGGAAUAUGACAUGUAGCGGUGAAAUGCAUAGAUAUGUCAUAGAACACCGAUUGCGAAGGCAGCUGACAAAACUGUAACUGACGCUGAGGCACGAAAGUGUGGGGAUCAAACAGG
rnacentral:rRNA from 1 species